rnacentral:rRNA from 1 species
CUUUGCUGGCGACCGGCGCACGGGUGAGUAACACGUAUCCAACCUGCCCUUUACUCGGGGAUAGCCUCUCGAAAGAAAGAUUAAUACCCGAUAGCAUAAUGAUUCCGCAUGGUUUCAUUAUUAAAGGAUUCCGGUAAAGGAUGGGGAUGCGUUCCAUUAGGUUGUUGGUGAGGUAACGGCUCACCAAGCCUUCGAUGGAUAGGGGUUCUGAGAGGAAGGUCCCCCACAUUGGAACUGAGACACGGUCCAA